GAUGAACGCUGGCGGCGUGCCUAAUACAUGCAAGUCGAGCGAACAGACGAGGAGCUUGCUCCUCUGACGUUAGCGGCGGACGGGUGAGUAACACGUGGAUAACCUACCUAUAAGACUGGGAUACCUUCGGGAAACCGGAGCUAAUACCGGAUAAUAUAUUGAACCGCAUGGUUCAAUAGUGAAAGACGGUUUUGCUGUCACUUAUAGAUGGAUCCGCGCCGCAUUAGCUAGUUGGUAAGGUAACGGCUUACCAAGGCAACGAUGCGUAGCCGACCUGAGAGGGUGAUCGGCCACACUGGAACUGAGACACGGUCCAGACUCCUACGGGAGGCAGCAGUAGGGAAUCUUCCGCAAAGGGCGAAAGCCUGACGGAGCAACGCCGCGUGAGUGAUGAAGGUCUUCGGAUCGUAAAACUCUGUUAUUGGGGAAGAACAAAUGUGUAAGUAACUAUGCACGUCUUGACGGUACCUAAUCAGAAAGCCACGGCUAACUACGUG
rnacentral:rRNA from 1 species